AAGCUGUAAACAGCCACGGUCACCACCUGGGAAAGAUGCCAGAGGAGCUUGAGUUCCCAGCCUUUCUCUUCAGUUCCACCCCACACGUCUCCAAACAGCAACAAGCUGCUUCUGGAUCUGUAGCCUUUUGAAAGCCUUGGAUUCAGUGAUCAUAGAAUCAGAGUGGUUUGGGUUGGAGGGGACCUUAAAGAGCACCUGCUUAUGACAGGCUUCUCUGCUUUCUGUAGGAAGAUGCAUUUUGACUUUAAAUAUGCUCUUUGCCCUUUAGUCGUUACGUUGCUAUGUAAUAUGAAAUACACAUAUGUAACAUGAAAUACACUGUAUUUCAUUCCAUGCUGUCCCUGGAAUGACAUCUGUGUAGGCAUCACAGAAAGAAAGCAAAUGACACCCUGGAUGGAAAGAGCUGAAACGACUGACACAUGGCUGCCUGGUUGUUCUGCUGCCGAGAUAUGUGCUUCCUUGUGGCUUUCCGUCUGUAUCCUAGAGACUUCCAGUGUAAUAUCCUUAGGGGCAGGCUUGGCUCACUGUCCUACCUCACCAUUCCUAUUCCUUGCCUGACUCUGGAAAUCCCUGUAGCUCCACAUAAGGUCCCAGGUGAGGAUCCAAGAUAGCUGCCUGUUGCCUGGCACUCACAUUCAGGAUGCCUUGGAGCAGCACGCUGUCCCGGAUCCUCCCCUCAUUCCUUGCCUUCACAGCCAGGUUGGAGAACCACACACACGGGAUCCAAAACUUGUUGUGUGGGGAAUUCAAGCUCUCAAACUUCUUGUGCUCUUCUGGUGUCAUGAGGCCUGGGUGGAAAAGAGUAGAUGGGAGAAGGAUGACUGUAAAGGGCAGAAAGGAACAAACUGGUCUGAAAAGAAAACUUAAAUCUCAGGUGGUCACCUUGGCUGUCCUUAAAAAUAACAGGGAAUACUCAAGCACUCAGCUUUUGGGAGACACAUAGAAGAGGAUGAGUCUUGUUAAAACAUUCAGUUAUAGAAUUGUGAGGGGCAGGCUUUAUCUCAUUUCAUUUCAGAAGUCUACAGCACAUAUGACCAGGUCACAGUCAGCAGGGAGAUAAAGUACUGCUGAGGGUGCAAUUGCUUGGUGUACAUAGAUGUUUGUUGAGAAUGGGGUAACUUGUGUCCUAAAAGUGCCUGUUUCUCUCUCCGGAUUGCAAAGGGAAACCAGUUGAGUAGGGUUCUAAUUGACAUAUCCCUCUGGGGAGGGAAAUGUCAUAUCUUGAGAAGCAUCUUCAGAGAGGAUUCAGGGAGCCCAGCACUUGAGGUCAGAGGCUCCAAUUCCCACCUGCCCAGUGGAAAACUGUUGCCCUGAGGGAGGAUGAACAUUCCACUUGGUAAGCUCUGCUUGUGUACUGCUGUAGAUCUGUGCACAGGGUCAUUUACUACAGAGAGCUCUUCUCUUCCUGCUUCCAGAGCAGGGUGAGCAGCUCCUAGUGAAGUUGCUGCACCACAUUACCCUAAUCUGACCAGCCGGGGCUACUCUGUGACCUGCAGCGUAUCUACAUUGACAAACAGGAUCUUGGCACUCUCCUUAUGUAUAAAAGCUUGGGUAGAGACACUUCAUAUUUCAAACAAACCUUCCAGCCACUCUUAGGAGCAUGCUGUGAAAUAGGGAAACAUCAACCAUUGAUGAUUUCAGUAGAGCAGAGUGAGCACCACUGCAGACAUCAGCUGAGCACAUUGCAGCACUAUCCCACCUCCAGUCUGGAGGUCAUGAAGCCCUUUCCAAGGCUCUUUGCCCCAAAACCAGCACCAAGGUGAUGCUGUGUGGUGCAGAAGGCAGGACCAGCACUGACCUGCCCUCACGACGUGCUCCAUGCUGGGGAAGCGCUUGUAGACAGCGGUGCUGACUGAGCGCAGUAUCAGGACACUGCACAGGUUGCUGUAGCGCAUGAGGGUGCGACGCAGGAGUCGCCCGUACUCAUCCUCCCCAUCCACAUUGCAGGAAACCAAGUUCAUGAUCCGGUCAGGCCAUGGUAUGCUCUCAUACUGAGCCCACCAGCGGGACACCACCAGAGCCACGUAGAAACCUAGAGGAUCAGCCUAAAAGGAAGAAACAGAAGCAUCAGCCUCAAAGAAGAGUCUGUGCCUUGUUGGGCCUGCUGAAGUAUAGGAGUCUGGCAAAGGAAGCCAAGGAUGUGUACUCAGAACACUCCCAUGCCAUGAGAAUGCUGUGAGUGAACACCACUCAUGAGCCCACCUCCCAGAAUACCCUGCUGACCAGUCCAAAGGAGCCCAAAUGGUCACUGACAGAGAGUAACCAUCAAAUGCACCUCUUAAUCUCAGAGAAGAGAAACUGUGUUACUUCCCAGGACAGAAAAAGGAGAUUUAUCAUCUGCUAAGCAGCAUAGGAGCCAUAAGGAAGGACCUUUCCUCCUGUGCACAGAGGCUGGUGAGUGGCUGGCCAGCUCUUCUUCAGCAGCAUCAUUAUCCCAACCCUGCACUGCUCAGUUGUCCUGCUCCAGGACAAGCUGAGAGUGAUGGGUUGUGUUAGUGUUAAUGUACAAGGAUGCUUACCUGUAGACAAGACUGAUGGUGAAGUAGAGAGAGAUGAAGAUAAGGAACUCUGAG